rnacentral:rRNA from 1 species
UACGUAGGGACCGAGCGUUGUCCGGAAUCAUUGGGCGUAAAGAGCGUGUAGGCGGCCUUUUAAGUCCUGCGUGAAAUCCUGCGGCUCAACCGCAGACGGUCGUGGGAAACUGGAAGGCUAGAGUGCGGGAGAGGAGAGUGGAAUUCCCGGUGUAGCGGUGAAAUGCGCAGAUAUCAGGAGGAACACCGGUGGCGAAGGCGGGUCUCUGGGCCAUUACUGACGCUGAGGAGCGAAAGCGUGGGGAGCGAACAGG